rfam:Salmo salar isolate Sally breed double haploid chromosome ssa19, whole genome shotgun sequence.
UGCACUCACUUCUGUAAGUUGCUCUGGAUAAGAGUGUCUGAUAAAUGACUAAAA